rnacentral:rRNA from 1 species
AUUGAACGCUGGCGGCAUGCUUUACACAUGCAAGUCGAACGGCAGCACGGGUGCUUGCACCUGGUGGCGAGUGGCGGACGGGUGAGUAAUGCAUCGGAACGUGUCCUGAAGUGGGGGAUAACGCAUCGAAAGAUGUGCUAAUACCGCAUAUUCUCUGAGGAGGAAAAGUAGGGGAUCGAAAGACCUUAUGCUUUUGGAGCGGCCGAUGUCUGAUUAGCUAGUUGGUAGGGUAAUGGCUUACCAAGGCGACGAUCAGUAGUUGGUCUGAGAGGACGACCAGCCACACUGGGACUGAGACACGGCCCAGACUCCUACGGGAGGCAGCAGUGGGGAAUUUUGGACAAUGGGCGCAAGCCUGAUCCAGCAAUGCCGCGUGAGUGAAGAAGGCUCGGUUGUAAGACGUCUUUCUACGUUGUAGAAGAAAAGUACGUGACGUAAUAAUACAU